AAAAGGGAACCCACACUUAACAAAAAGCAGUUCCUACACUGAAAAUGGACACAAGGACAAGGAAACUGGCAAGAAGCUGUAGGGGGGGUGAAGAGGCUGCAAGUCUUCAAAAAUUCACAAAUUGGAUUAUCAAUUCUUAAGGAGUCAGCCAUUGUAGCAAACCAUGCCUUGAGGCAUAGAGUUGAAAUGCCACUUAAAGCAGGAGUGAAGAAAAGCAUUCCUUUUGAGAGGCAGUAUUGCAUAGGGUCAAGAGCAU
rnacentral:lncRNA from 1 species